UGUGCUACGAAAAAAGAAAAAAAUGUUUGCGCGCCAAUUUGAUUGCAAGUGCAGUGCAAGGUGUCAUAACAGCUGAGUCUGUUUCUAUCCAUGACGUGUUUCUGCUACUUGGCAUAUAAUCGAUUUAUCUAUCGAUAGCAUUUAAUUUGGUGUUAGUUACGAACUCCACCAAUUGAAGCAACUGCGUCACAUUUUGGAGACCUACGUGAGCUGUUAUCCUGCAUCCUGGGGAGCUACCGCAACAUCAACUAU